rnacentral:rRNA from 1 species
GACGAACGCUGGCGGCGUGCUUAACACAUGCAAGUCGAACGGAAAGGCCCUGCUUUUGUGGGGUGCUCGAGUGGCGAACGGGUGAGUAACACGUGAGUAACCUGCCCUUGACUUUGGGAUAACUUCAGGAAACUGGGGCUAAUACCGGAUAGGAGCUCCUGCUGCAUGGUGGGGGUUGGAAAGUUUCGGCGUUUGGGGAUGGACUCGCGGCUUAUCAGCUUGUUUGUGUGGUAGUGGCUUACCAAGGCUUUGACGGGUAGCCGGCCUGAGAGGGUUACCGGCGACAUUGGGCCUGAGAGACGGACCAGACUCCUACGGGAGGCAGCAGUGGGGAAUAUUGCGCAAUGGGCGGAAGCCUGAUGCAGCAACGCCGCGUGCGGGAUGACGGCUUUCGGGUUGUAAACCGCUUUCGCCUGUGACGAAGCGUGAGUGACGGUAAUGGGUAAAGAAGCACCGGCUAACUACGUG